ensembl:lncRNA
UGUGAAGUGCUCGUCCUCCGGUGGCCGGUGGAGGCUCUGGGCAGAACAAAAAGGAGAAGGGGUGUGUUAGAAUCUCCAACAGCCUUUUUUCAGGACUCCCAGCGACGACCAGCCAGCCAGUGUCUGGUGAGCGCGCGUGUGCGCGCGCGCGUCCCUGCGCGCGUGUCUGUGUGCGCGCACGUGUGUGAGUGUGCGUGUGGACCAGCCAGCCAACACACACACACACACACACACUUAACAUUCGUUCGCAACAUGGCGUUGGAGCGCCGAGAGACACGACGGCUCUCCCCCGACUAACGCAGCCGUGUUGUUGCGGGACGCCCGGGGAGUGUGAACCCACACGGAGAGAGAGAGAGACUCCUUUACGCACCGGAGGCGGAGACAAUAGCGGAUUCCAACAUAUGCAUGUCGCUAUAACGGUAUAGCCGGCUGGUACAGACGCACGCUGCUGCCCCACUGGUUGGAAUCAGAGGCUGUACAUGGCGGUGGAGAGCACAGUUUGGCUGUUCUGUCUUCUUUCGCUCUUCUGUGGACCAUCCAAGCAAGGACGGCUUGCGACGCUUCGGCGGUACGAAGUUGCAGCACAUUGCCCAGGGAGCAGCCCCUGGACUGGGGGGAUCACACAGAGGAUUGUGCUCAUUACAAAGGACAUGUGGGCUCGGCCGUUGUGAAACGAGAGAAACAGUGGAGCCCGCUGGAGACUGCAACCCAUGCAGUCGUAAUUGUGUUGGUUGCCUUGCAGGAAAAGAAGGGGAAGAGUCUAAACUUUUCAUUCACAGUUAAAAAUCUCGAACAAGUGUGCGAAUGGGUCGUGGGGCAAGUCAAGAAUAUGUGAACACAAAGAGUAAUGAUCUCAUCUAAAAUAUGCACACACACACACACACACACACACACACAAGAUCCUUUUGCAUGAAGGAUGCGUUUGGGAGAUGAUGCUCGGUGUGGCUCCAUGAGCUGAGAGUGGCCGGAGAGGAAACGUCUGCCCACGUACACACAGAGGACGACGAGAUAGGGGAAGGACUAUAGCCACAGGAUCUGAGACCUGUUGUGCAGAAUAUCCGUGAAGUGAAGGUUCAGCCAUGAGCUAUUGGAAAAAGAGUUCACCGAGAAUGCAUUGCCUUUCAGGGAACCUCCGGAUUGAGGAUUUCGGAAAGACACCUGAGAGCAUUUCUGCGUGGCUGUGGAGAAAUCACUGAGUCACAAGCUGCGGGUGAAGAGUUAACAGAAGUAAUGGUGAUGUAAUGAGGCAAAUUAGACCACUUACCUUUUGCACAGAGCUGGGGGAGUGAAAUGUAACCAGCUGUCAGCUCACAGUGCAAAAACUGUGGUAAACUCUCAUUUUGCAGCUGUAUGGUGUUUUCGCUCUCAAGUUGUCACCGUGACAGCAGUCGAGGUGAAAUGUCCAAGUUUGAAAAGUGCUAAGCAUUAACAUGUCGGCAGGUGUAUCUGAGAGAGAGCACGCCACAGAACUUUGAGAUUCUAUCUCCAUGAGCUGGCGUUUGUAUUCAGGCUGUUUAAACAUUUGGAACUGAUAAGAUUACUCCUGAAAACAUGUGUUUAAAUCUCUGCCGUUUUCCCUGUUUGAGUUACAGCUUGUACGGAAACUAAUCAGCAGCAAUGUUGAUGAUCGAUUAAAUGCACAGGUGAUUUUUUCUUUUUUUAAGCCAAAAUGCCAAAUAUUAUAAUAUCUUUGGUUUGUGCUGAGGGUGACAUGAAACAAGGGAUCUGAAGAGGCCACAUUGGCUGGUGGGGUUUUUUGACCUUUUAAAACCAGAAUAAGUGACAUAUUAAUCCUAUUGAAAUAAAUCUGCAGAUCGGUUGAUAUGUAAAGUAAUUGCUGGUUGCAGUUCUAAUUCCCAAAUGAUUGUGAAAAUGUUACAGUUGCACUGUUAAAAGUUUUUGAUUUCAUCAGCGUCCGGGAUAUGCUUGCACCAUGGAUGUGCCGCUGCUUUGCCUCAACCAACAGUGAUGAGAAAUAAAGCAUCUUGUGCACCGGGGGUUGGUGUGGUGGUGAAAAGUCAAGUGUGGCAGAAUGAAUAUAUCAGACACCCUGAUAUAAAGUACUUCACACAUCCAGGUAGACACAUCCUCCUUCAGGCAUAUAGUUUCAUUUCAGUUCUCCAUAUCCAUUGUUCAAUUAUUCAAAUACAGCCCUUAAAAAGGAGGCAACUAGAGGUAAAGCCUCCUUGAUUUCCAUCUGUAAAGCAGUGGAAGGUCAGCAGAUACAAUUUAUAUAGAGUGAGAUUACCAUGCCCUUGGGACUCCAGCGGAGACAGACUAAGGAAUUACCCCCCUCCCUCUGAGAUCCUCCUGACAGGAGAGUGAGUGCCACACUGGGGGCGAUCACAUCCAAGAGAUGAAAUCUCUGGCAGGUACAUGGCGAUUGUGACAGAGGUUGCCUCUGAUAAGAGCGGCGAGGAAAUUGAUUUAUUUGCACUGCAAAAUGUAUCACAGGAAGUUGGUGCUAAAUAGUUAUGACAGUUUACUUGGCAAACUAAAGGCUUUCGAAUUGAAUAACACGUCACAUUUAGUGAAAGAAAAGGCCAAUGAUUCAAAAUAAUGUGAACAAAUCAGACUAAAAUGAAUUGCAUUAAUUAAGAGUUGCCAUCAAAGAGCAAUAUUCACAUUUGUACGCGUGAGCUCUGCUGACAGCAGCAUCAUGCUUUGUGAUCAAAUGAGCAGAUUAGAAUGUAUUAUUAACAAAUAAUGACUUGGCAUUGGUUUUUUAUCAUUCAUCAACACACAAAACAACACAGUCAUUGAGGCUUGGUGAGUGCAUGUUUCUGUUUCUGUGUGUGUGUGUGUGUGUGUGUGUGUGUGUGUGUGUGUGUGUGUGUGUGUGUGUGUGUGAGUGUGGUUGUGUGAGCAUGAAUGUCGUGGGUGUUGGUGGCUGUGGGAACUGAAGCUGGUAGUGAGUGGGGGCGGGGGGUGAUUCUGGGACAGGGAUG